CUACGGGAGGCAGCAGUGGGGAAUUUUGCGCAAUGGGAGCAAUCCUGACGCAGCAACGCCGCGUGCGGGAUGAAGGCCUUCGGGUUGUAAACCGCUUUCAGUGGGGACGAAUUCAGACGGUACCCACAGAAGAAGCCCCGGCCAACUACGUGCCAGCAGCCGCGGUAACACGUAGGGGGCGAGCGUUGUCCGGAUUUAUUGGGCGUAAAGAGCUCGUGGGCGGCUCCGUAAGUGAGGUGUGAAAACUCCAGGCUCAACCUGGAGACGCCACCUCAUACUGCGGUGGCUAGAGUCCGGUAGGGGAGCAUGGAAUUCCUGGUGUAGCGGUGAAAUGCGCAGAUAUCAGGAGGAACACCAGUGGCGAAGGCGGUGCUCUGGGCCGGUACUGACGCUGAGGAGCGAAAGCGUGGGGAGCAAACAGGAUUAGAUACCCCAGUAGUCC
rnacentral:rRNA from 1 species